rnacentral:lncRNA from 1 species
AGAAGGAGAGAUAAAAUUCAACUUUUGCUACCCAUUCUUUCUCUUUUUGCUUUCCAUACACUUCAGAUGGGAAUUUUUCUGUGUGUAUUUAUUUUGUUUGUGUUAUCUUGCUAACUAUAAGUUUAUGCUGACCGACAGGGGGAAAAAAGCUGCCUAUUCUGACUGCAGUGACCAAAGGAGUUCAGUUGUUCAAUUCACACCCAAACAUCUUUCUUCCAUUUAGAAACAUCCUAGUAUUUAAGGCCUUCUACUAUAAGCCCAUUACUAGUUCAUUUCCUUUCUAUUUCAUUUUUGUAUGCUCAUAUUUGUGUUCUCUGUUCCUA